rnacentral:rRNA from 1 species
CCUACGGGGGGCAGCAGUGAGGAAUAUUGGUCAAUGGGCGAGAGCCUGAACCAGCCAAGUCGCGUGAGGGAGUACUGCCCUAUGGGUUGUAAACCUCUUUUGUCGGGGAGCAAAAGCCGGACGUGUCCGGCUGUGAGAGUACCCGAAGAAAAAGCAUCGGCUAACUCCGUGCCAGCAGCCGCGGUAGUUCGGAGGAUGCGAGCGUUAUCCGGAUUUAUUGGGGUAAAAGGGUGCGCAGGCGGAUUUUUAAGUCAGCGGUCAAAUCGUGGGGCUCAACCCCAUCCAGCCGUUGAAACUGGGGAUCUAGAGUGUGCGAGAGGUAUGCGGAAUGCGUGGUGUAGCGGUGAAAUGCAUAGAUAUCACGCAGAACCCCGAUUGCGAAGGCAGCAUACCGGUGCACAACUGACGCUCAGGCACGAAAGCGUGGGUAUCGAACAGGAUUAGAUACCCGAGUAGUC